CAGUAGCCGCGGUAAAACGAGGGGGGCAAGCGUUGUUCGGAAUUAUUGGGCGUAAAGGGUGCGUAGGCGGUUUGGCAAGUUUGGUGUGAAAUCUUCGGGCUCAACUCGAAGUCUGCAUCGAAAACUGCCGGGCUUGAGUAUGGGAGAGGUGAGUGGAAUUUCCGGUGUAGCGGUGAAAUGCGUAGAUAUCGGAAGGAACACCUGUGGCGAAAGCGGCUCACUGGACCAUAACUGACGCUGAUGCACGAAAGCUAGGGGAGCAAACAGGAUUAGAUACCCCCGUAGUCCCUGUCUCUUAUAA
rnacentral:rRNA from 1 species